rnacentral:rRNA from 1 species
GUGUUAGUGGAAGCGUCUGGAAAGGCGCGCGAUACAGGGUGACAGCCCCGUACACAAAAGCGCAUGUGCUGUGAGCUCGAUGAGUAGGGCGGGACACGUGGUAUCCUGUCUGAAUAUGGGGGGACCAUCCUCCAAGGCUAAAUACUCCUGACUGACCGAUAGUGAACCAGUACCGUGAGGGAAAGGCGAAAAGAACCCCGGCGAGGGGAGUGAAAAAGAACCUGAAACCGUGUACGUACAAGCAGUGGGAGCACCCUUUGGGGUGUGACUGCGUACCUUUUGUAUAAUGGGUCAGCGACUUAUAUUCUGUAGCAAGGUUAACCGUAUAGGGGAGCCGGAGGGAAACCGAGUCUUAACCGGGCGUUAAGUUGCAGGGUAUAGACCCGAAACCCGGUGAUCUAGCCAUGGGCAGGUUGAAGGUUGGGUAACACUAACUGGAGGACCGAACCGACUAAUGUUGAAAAAUUAGCGGAUGACCUGUGGCUGGGGGUGAAAGGCCAAUCAAACCGGGAGAUAGCUGGUUCUCCCCGAAAGCUAUUUAGGUAGCGCCUCGUGAAUUCAUCUCCGGGGGUAGAGCACUGUUUCGGCUAGGGGGCCAUCCCGGCUUACCAACCCGAUGCAAACUGCGAAUACCGGAGAAUGUUAUCACGGGAGACACACGGCGGGUGCUAACGUCCGUCGUGAAGAGGGAAACAACCCAGACCGCCAGCUAAGGUCCCAAAGUCAUGGUUAAGUGGGAAACGAUGUGGGAAGGCCCAGACAGCCAGGAUGUUGGCUUAGAAGCAGCCAUCAUUUAAAGAAAGCGUAAUAGCUCACUGGUCGAGUCGGCCUGCGCGGAAGAUGUAACGGGGCUAAACCAUGCAC